GCCUUGGUCGGAAACCAAGGCGGAAAAGGAG
ncrna:unclassified sequences L31-Coriobacteria ribosomal protein leader